CAUCCGCGGACUUUCAUUUGUAAACCUCCUAAAUCUCCUUCUGCAGUAAUCACAGACUGCGCGCGCAGGAAGAGAAAACGUUUUUAAAACUAAGUUCCCCCUUAUGACUCCGAGCUAGUUCCAUCCAAUUUAACAGGAGGGCGCGAACAACUGUUUCCAGGAUGCUAAUUUGCGCAGGAUUUUCAGUGUCGUUCUAAUUGUAAACACCGGCUAACUGAUUCAAUUAAUUGCCUUGGUAAGCAAUUGCUAAGCCUGAACAGGCCAAAUAAACGGCAGUGUGUUUAACGGAUAGAUAAAUUCCAUGGAUGUCCUUCUGCAGUAAAAAACGAGAUUUAGGACAAGGAGGAAUGGGUAUAACGCACAGGAUAGUUCACACGAGGCCAACCAGGGACGGACACCAAAGCACGCGACUGAACGUACCCCCACAUCCUCGGAGAUGAGUGGCGGCCAUUGUUCGCACAACUUCAAGGCUGAAAGCUCUGAAUGUUCAGCUGAAAGUGGAUAAAAGCCUCUCUUCAAAGCAUAGGAGGAUAACGAAGUAAAAACACCUAUCCAGAGCUUUUCCCUGUAGGCAAUCUAUCCUUUUCAUUUUCAAAUUUGUAUUUGCCACUGGUUUUGCAUACCUUUCAUGUUCUCUAAGUCUUGGGAGUACCAGUGAGACAUUUAUGAUAUGAUUUUGUUUAAAUGUAAAUAUUUGCUCAUAUUGUUUUUAUUUUCCUUGUUAUUAUUCUGUGCAGGGGAUGGUGUCUGUGUUGUAUGACCAAUCAGGAUACAGACACGUUACCUUUAUACUUACAUGGCUAGUGAUCUACUUUAGCACAGGUUCCUGAACAUGUGCAAUCAUCUCAAAUGCACUCCAAUCUCACUUCAGUAUUCAAUCUUCAAGAAAAGCCUGCCAGUGGUGAUUGAUGCUGCAGCAACGUGUACCGAUGGCCACAUGAUACUUUUGACCAAUGGGAGUAACUCCAUAAAAUUAUCUGAUGAUUUACUGCUAACGUGCUAUGUUCCUAUGCGUUUAAAAUUUCUGCAGUGUUUAUUUGAUACUUACGUUACCUAACACUGACAAAAUUGUGAUACUGUAAUGCCAAAAAAAUUCAGAAGGAAGUAUGCCAUGUAUUCACAAAGUGUAGUAUACACAAUUAAACUAAGUGGUACACGUAUCGAAUGUCAUAAGCGUAUUUUGUUGUUAAACAAUAUUGCAUGUACAAAAGAACUGUUGCGUUGCCAUGGUUAAUGUAAUUUGUGCUCACACAUUAUUGUUUUCAUCCAAUAUGCAUGCUGUGUGCGCA